rnacentral:rRNA from 1 species
GAUGAACGCUGGCGGCGUGCCUAAUACAUGCAAGUCGAGCGAACAGAUAAGGAGCUUGCUCCUUUGACGUUAGCGGCGGACGGGUGAGUAACACGUGGGUAACCUACCUAUAAGACUGGGAUAACUUCGGGAAACCGGAGCUAAUACCGGAUAACAUUUGGAACCGCAUGGUUCUAAAGUGAAAGAUGGUUUUGCUAUCACUUAUAGAUGGACCCGCGCCGUAUUAGCUAGUUGGUAAGGUAACGGCUUACCAAGGCAACGAUACGUAGCCGACCUGAGAGGGUGAUCGGCCACACUGGAACUGAGACACGGUCCAGACUCCUACGGGAGGCAGCAGUAGGGAAUCUUCCGCAAUGGGCGAAAGCCUGACGGAGCAACGCCGCGUGAGUGAUGAAGGGUUACGGCUCGUAAAACUCUGUUAUUAGGGAAGAACAAACGUGUAAGUAACUGUGCACGUCUUGACGGUACCUAAUCAGAAAGCCACGGCUAACUACGUG